CAACCUCCUGUUGGGCCUAUAAGUGCGGUCUGUCGGGAUCAAUCAGGAGCAUUUGCUGGGUCAGCAGCGGUGGUAUUCCAUGGCAUGACCGACCCGAACAUACUGGAAGCUUUGGCAUGCCGCGAGGUUAUUGCUUUAGCCAGGGACCUUGCACUUACUCAUUUGAAGGUAGCUUCGGAUUGCCUUUCGGUGGUCAAGGACAUACAUACUGGCACUAUGGGUACAAUUGCUCCAAUCGUGGAGGAGAUCAUCGACUCGAGUAGGGAGUUUCAGUCUUGUUCUUUCGUCUAUGAGAGACGUCUCUCUAAUAAGGAGGCUCAUGGCUUAGCUCGACAUGCUUUACAUUUAGGGGAGGGUCGCCAUGUAUGGCUGUUAUACCCUCAUGAUACUUCUAUUAUUCCUGUAAUUCGCUCUGUUGAUCAAUAA
rnacentral:rRNA from 1 species